rnacentral:rRNA from 1 species
UACGUAGGGUGCAAGCGUUGUCCGGAAUUAUUGGGCGUAAAGAGCUCGUAGGCGGCCUGUCGCGUCCGCUGUGAAAUCCCGGGGCUUAACCCCGGGCCUGCAGUGGGUACGGGCAGACUAGAGUGCGGUAGGGGAGACUGGAAUUCCUGGUGUAGCGGUGAAAUGCGCAGAUAUCAGGAGGAACACCGGUGGCGAAGGCGGGUCUCUGGGCCGUAACUGACGCUGAGGAGCGAAAGCGUGGGGAGCGAACAGG